rnacentral:rRNA from 1 species
CUCCCCGAAAACUAUUGAGGUAGUGCCUCGUGUAUGGCUCCAGGGGGUAGAGCACUGUUAUGGCUAGGGGGACAUGGCGUCUUACCAAACCAUGGCAAACUCCGAAUACUUGGAAGUCUGAGCACGGGAGACAGAGCACCGGGUGCUAACGUCCGGACUCAAAAGGGAAACAACCCAGACCGCCGGCUAAGGUCCCUAAUAUUGACUAAGUGGAAAACGAAGUGGGAAGGCUAAGACAGUCAGGAAGUUGGCUUAGAAGCAGCCAUCCUUCAAAGAAAGCGUAAUAGCUCACUGAUCGAGUCUUCCUGCGCGGAAGAUGUAACGGGGCUAAGUCAAUAACCGAAGCCGCGGAUUCGCAGCAAUGCGAGUGGUAGGGGAGCGUUCUGUAAGCCUGCGAAGGCGGAUCCGCGAGGACCGCUGGAGGUAUCAGAAGUGCGAAUGCUGACAUGAGUAACGUUAAAGCGGGUGAAAAGCCCGCUCGCCGCAAGCCCAAGGUUUCCUGCUCUACGUUCAUCGGAGCAGGGUGAGUCGGCCCCUAAGGUCAGGCUGAGAAGCGUAGCUGAUGGGAAGCUGGUUAAUAUUCCAGCACCGAUUUCAAGUGCGAAGGGGGGACGGAGUCCUGAAGGUCAUCCGGGUGUUGGAUAUCCCGGUUUACGAGCGUAGGAGGUUGACAGGCAAAUCCGUCAACGGAUCUCCAAGGCGAAGGAUCGAGGUUGAGAGAUCAACUGAAGUGACUGAAUGGGCUUCCAGGAAAAGCCUCUAAGCAUCAGCUUGGAAUUGACCGUACCGCAAACCGACACUGGUGGGCGAGCUGAAUAUGCUCAGGCGCUUGAGAGAACUCAGGAGAAGGAACUCGGCAAAUUGACACCGUAACUUCGGGAUAAGGUGUGCCUUUGUAGUGUGAAGAGAGAAACACUCCGAGCAUGAAGAGGCCUCAGAGAAUCGGUGGCUGCAACUGUUUACUAAAAACACAGCACUCUGCAAAGAUGAAAGUCGACGUAUAGGGUGUGAUGCCUGCCCGGUGCUGGAAGAUUAAUUGAUGGGGUGCAAGCUCCUGAUCGAAGUCCCAGUAAACGGCGGCCGUAACUAUAACGGUCCUAAGGUAGCGAAAUUCCUUGUCGGGCAAGUUCCGACCUGCACGAAUGGCAUAAUGAUGGCCACACUGUCUCCUCCUGAGACUCAGUGAAGUUGAAAUGUUUGUGAUGAUGCAAUCUCCCCGCGGCUAGACGGAAAGACCCCAUGAACCUUUACUGCAGCUUUGCAUUGGACUUUGAACCGAUCUGUGUAGGAUAGGUGGGAGGCAGUGAAGCUAGGACGCCAGUCUUAGCGGAGCCAACCUUGAAAUACCACCCUGAUUUGUUUGAGGUUCUAACCUAGGAGCGUAAUCCGCUUCGGGGACCGUGCAUGGUAGGCAGUUUGACUGGGGCGGUCUCCUCCUAAAGGGUAACGGAGGAGUGCGAAGGUACGCUAGGUACGGUCGGAAAUCGUGCUGAUAGUGCAAUGGCAAAAGCGUGCUUGACUGCGAGACCGACAAG